rnacentral:lncRNA from 1 species
GGGCGGCUAGGUGGUCUAGUGGAGUAAGGCUCCGAUGUUGGAGGUGGAAAUUGGUGUACAGUUAUAUAAUUUCUGCAUCGAAGCCAACGCCAAACGCAUUACGCACGCGGAGACAUCUCCGAGCGACGCGGAAAAAAGUGCGCGCGCGCUCCAAAAAUCCACCAGGAAAAACGAAGAAGACGAAAAUUUGGCCAUCGAAGGACAAAUGUAUGGUGCUGGGAUUGCAGACUAACGAUUCAAAAGUGCACCAGUGGUGCUGCGUGCCGCGGAGCCCUGCAAGCAAAACAUGCCCCGGGAAGAU